rnacentral:lncRNA from 1 species
CACAUAAGCAUCCUCUGCCUAGGACAUACCAAAACUCCCCAAUUUGUGUCAAUAAAACAUAUCAGUGUUGAAGGAAAUAGUAAAUGAACUACUUUUUGUUCAUGGCUCUCUGGGAGAAGAACAGACUCCCCCAGAUUUCCAUAUGAUUCCCUUCAUAUGGAAGAAUGAUGACAGCUAAAGAGCAAAUGCUGACAAAAUUGACAACCUUUUCUGUCACCUUGUCCUCAAUAAAGUAGCCAGGCUAUCUAAGGUGCAUAGUCAGAAACCCAGACGUUUAAUGAUCACAUUCUCUGAACCAAAAUGUCUAACAUUUGCUCUGACAUGAAAAAGGAAAUGGGAUGGAAUUCCAGGUUCCAUUUACACAGUCACUGCAUAUGCUUGGGUUCUUUCCCAAGCAAAAAUCACAGGAGCUACUUCCCAACAAUAGACGAUUUCUUUGACACCAAGGAUUUGAAACGAAAUUUGAUUCUUAACUUGUCUGUAAAUUAAAUGCAAUAAACAUAUAUUUUUGUACUGGUCAUUAACUAUAUUAUGAAUUUAAAAUUGUACUCAAUAGUAUUAUUUUGUAACUUAUUGAUUAUCAAACAUGAAAAGGAAGGUGGCAGGAUUAUUAAAUUACAGAUUGUAAAUUUGCUAUGGAAUGAUCUAAGUGAACAUGAUAUUUUCAUCCUGACAAAAAUCACAGCAUAGAAAUAACAGCUGUGUAAUAUACUAACUGC